rnacentral:lncRNA from 1 species
AUAUUCCAGGAUCUAGGAAUAUCCUGAAAGACUUAUGACAGUGAAUGCUAUCCUUCUUUAAUGAUGUCUCAGGUUGAAUGUGAAAACUGUGUCCCAUCCAUCAUUUCACUGACACUGUCCUACCUCCAAGACCCCAUCCCCUGUGGGAGGUUGGCCCACCCCACAGCAACUGGCGCCCAGGAUCAUGGACUCUUGGCUAGUUAAGAGACAGCACCUUGGAAACAGCAAGAUGGAUUUUUCAUUCCUUCACCCUUUUUUCUUCCUCAAGAUCUUGAGUAAACACCUUAAUUCUUAAAAGCAUGCUUUUGUGUUUAAUGUUUAUUUUGUGCGUCUCUAUGUGUGUCUGUGGUAACAAGUCCUCCUCUCAGUGUCUUCCUAAUUGGGCAUUCACAAAUUAUGAUCAGAGUCUUCCUGAAAGGAAGUAA